CCCUGCCGAGAGAAAACCCGGGGUUAGAAGAGGGGUCGGGACGGGUCAGGGCUCCGCUGCCCCGGACACUCACCCAGCUGCACCAUGGCGCCCACGGAGUUCUCGCGUUGAGGUGAUGGAGGAGGAGCCGGAAGGGCGGCGGGCAGCGCAGUCGCGGAAUGUGAUGAAGAUGAAGGAAAUGAGAAGGCUUUAACCACUGCACAGCUCUGCCUGUGUGUGUCUGCAGACUGUUGGUGUGAUUUGCUUUAGACCUCUGCUUAACAAGAGAAAGAUUUCUGCUCAGCAGGCAGACUGCCACAGCUCUGUCACCCAGCCUCAUCAAGAUGACUGAAAUUUACUCUGUCUCUGUCUUUCUGAUUUCCACAGAUGCAGUUUGCAGCCAGCCAAACCUGAUGAAUUUCAGAUUUGAGGGUGGAGGUCAGGGGUGGGAGCUGACUGAGAACACACCAGGCCUAACCAUUUGCUCUGCCAGAUGUACAGGCCCAGCAAGGAAACACCCUGUCAUUUUAUCACCACACUGAAUGAGCUUGGCAGAACUGAAUGAGAAGCUUAGGAACUGUAAAGAAUUUGCCCUGGACUUAGAGGAAUGUGAUGAAGAUGAAGGAAAUAGGAAGGCUUUAACCACUGCAGAGCAGAAAGCUCAGUGUAUACUGGAUUCCUUGGAAAACCCCUUUAGAAUGCACCUGCCUCCAGACCAGAACCCUGCCUGUGUCUCAGUCUGCAAAGUCUGACCCAUUAUCAAAGAUUUAUGAAAUCAGCAAUCAAUGGGAGUUGAUGACUCAAACUCAAGUUCAGAAGGAGCCCAAGGAUGAAACCAAGAAGAAAGCUCAGCACAGGAACAAGCCCAUAAGAAGAGGGAUAGAGUCCUGAGUGAAGCAGGAACAGAAAAGAAAUGACCAAAAGCCUCUCAGCAAUCAGAGGAGCUGGAAGUUUCCCCCCUUUGAUGACAGCAAGCCCAAAGUGUUUGCAGCUUCUCGCCAUGGCAAGAGGCUGGAACCCUGCCGGGAUCCCGGGCUGUGUGCGGGGCCGGGGGUUCCCGUGGGGAGGGGGUU